CAAGCCACAGCAUUCUUGGCCACGCUUCGGAAACCUGACUCGCUUCAUACCUAACGGGACAGUGUACUUGGAGUGCUUAUUUCCUAUGAGUCAGUUUCCAUCCUCUGUCAAAAAAUGCAACUUGUUUAUUCCCGAGAUCCUCUCAGUGGUUUUGCUGAUGGUAACUGAACACAGAGUGAGUGCCUCCUCAUCCCAAGCCUGUCCCGGACAGUGAGAACAUCUCUCUACUGGAGGAUAAUGGAGGUCCAGAGACCCAUGCAUGGGGCCAGGUUACUUUUGCAGGUAUGACCUGAGUAUUUUUAAGCCCUUUGCAACAUAGAGAAUACUGUUCCUUUUUUUUGUGGACGAGGCCCAUGUGAGUGAGAUGAGUGGAGGCCAUAGUCCAGGCCAACUCAGGCCACCGUCAACACCACUUUUACCUCUGUCACCAUUGUCAUCACCAUCAUCACCAAGGGAACAUGGAGCAGAACCGGGAACAAUUCUCUCUGGGGCAUCUGCAUCUCUGGUUCUCCCUUUGACACAGCUUCUUUAGAUGGGAGCCACCUUCCUGUGCCUCUUGGUCUGGAGCCUGAGCCUGGCAGAAACUCCAGCACCAGUGGGAUGGUGUAGACCCCGAGAAAGGACAGCACUACAGGUUUCUACCUGUCCCGGCCCUGUGGCUUGCCACAGCCUCAGUUUCCCCUCUAGAAAGCCUUGCCUCUGCCUCUGAGGACUGAGGACUGCUGCGAGAGGGAUUCUGCCCUCUUGUGGACUCCAGUUACCUGUGACCUCUGAGGUCAGCUAUUGGCUGACAGAAGGACCACCUUACAAUGGCCUCUGGGUUCUAUUCUAACACCAUGAGACUGGCCUGGGGUACACAGCAAGAAGACACCCCAGACUUCCCACUGGAGCUCGGGACUCAGAGGACAGUGUUUUGCCUGCCUAUACCACAUGUAUGCCUGGUGCCCUUGGAGGUCAGAAGAGGAUAUCCACUCCCCUGGAACUGGAGCUGCAGAUAGUUGUGAGUCACCCUGUAGGUGUUGGGAAUCGAACCGAGGCCCUCUGCAAGAAAAAGUGCUCUUAUCUGCUCAGCCAAUUCUCCAGCCUCCACGGGCCUUGAAGUUUUAUCCUUGGCCUUAUUCCCUGUCUGCUCCAGCUUCCUAACUGCAGAUGUCAUGUGGCCAGCUGUCACACACCCUCCCACCAUGACCUCCUUACCGCUGUCGACUAUGUCCCUCCUUAAACUGGGAGCCAGAUUAACCAUUUCCUUCUGCAAGAGGCUUCUACCAGGCAUUCUGUCACAGCAACCAGAAAAGUAACCAAUACAGAUCUGAAUGGACAUUUUUCCAGAGACGGUGGCUGGUAAGCAUAUGCAAAGUGGAUAUGAGGCAUCAAGAAAUGCAAACUGAAACCACUUCACACCCACAAGGUCAGCCAUCACGAGAUAGACAAUCACAGGGGAUGGUGACCUGGGAAAGCUGCAGACCUUCACGCUGCCAGCAGGAAUGAAAAACUGGGUCACCUGGUCUACCACUCUGGCCACUCCUCAGAAUGUUGAACCUAGAGUUGCCAUGUGACCCAAUGACUGCACCAGUAGAUCUACACCCAAGAAAAAUGAAAACUUCCAUCCACAUAGAAACUCCUACACAAAUGUCCGCUACUCACAAUAGCAGCAGUGGGAACUGUCAGAACUUCCAACAGGGGAAGAGAACAGCCAGCACAGUGUGGUCUCUCACGCAGCGCCAUCAUUCAGCCAUAAGAACAAAUGCAGAGCUGACUCACCCCACAGCACUUUGAAGCUUGCUGAGUGAAAGAAGCCAGGCCCACAAGACCACAUGCCGCAUGGUUCUGUUACAUAAGAUGUCAAAAAAGACAAAUGUAUGGAGACAAGAGAGGAAAUUAGCAGCUGCAGGGUGGGGCGGGACUACGGGUGUGAUGAGAGCUAUGGGGUUUCUUCUCCAGGGUGGAAGGGACACUCUGCAGUGAGAUAGUAGGAUGGCUGUAUAGCUCUGAGAGUAUGUCCACUGAGCCAGAUGCUUCUGGAGGGUGGGUUUUUAUAGUGCAAAAGUAACAGCUAAAUACAGAUGUUCUGAAGAGUUCACUGCCUCA